rnacentral:rRNA from 1 species
GAUGAACGCUGGCGGCGUGCCUAAUACAUGCAAGUCGAGCGAACAGAUGAGGAGCUUGCUCCUCUGACGUUAGCGGCGGACGGGUGAGUAACACGUGGAUAACCUACCUAUAAGACUGGGAUAACUUCGGGAAACCGGAGCUAAUACCGGAUAAUAUAUUGAACCGCAUGGUUCAAUAGUGAAAGACGGUUUUGCUGUCACUUAUAGAUGGAUCCGCGCCGCAUUAGCUAGUUGGUAAGGUAACGGCUUACCAAGGCAACGAUGCGUAGCCGACCUGAGAGGGUGAUCGGCCACACUGGAACUGAGACACGGUCCAGACUCCUACGGGAGGCAGCAGUAGGGAAUCUUCCGCAAUGGGCGAAAGCCUGACGGAGCAACGCCGCGUGAGUGAUGAAGGUCUUCGGAUCGUAAAACUCUGUUAUUAGGGAAGAACAAAUGUGUAAGUAACUAUGCACGUCUUGACGGUACCUAAUCAGAAAGCCAAGGCUAACUACGUG